UCAGAAGUGCGAAUGCUGACAUAAGUAACGAUAAAGCGGGUGAAAAGCCCGCUCGCCGGAAGACCAAGGGUUCCUGUCCAACGUUAAUCGGGGCAGGGUGAGUCGACCCCUAAGGCGAGGCCGAAAGGCGUAGUCGAUGGGAAACAGGUUAAUAUUCCUGUACUUGGUGUUACUGCGAAGGGGGGACGGAGAAGGCUAUGUUGGCCGGGCGACGGUUGUCCCGGUUUAAGCGUGUAGGCUGGUUUUCCAGGCAAAUCCGGAAAAUCAAGGCUGAGGCGUGAUGACGAGGCACUACGGUGCUGAAGCAACAAAUGCCCUGCUUCCAGGAAAAGCCUCUAAGCAUCAGGUAACAUCAAAUCGUACCCCAAACCGACACAGGUGGUCAGGUAGAGAAUACCAAGGCGCUUGAGAGAACUCGGGUGAAGGAACUAGGCAAAAUGGUGCCGUAACUUCGGGAGAAGGCACGCUGAUAUGUAGGUGAAGUCCCUCGCGGAUGGAGCUGAAAUCAGUCGAAGAUACCAGCUGGCUGCAACUGUUUAUUAAAAACACAGCACUGUGCAAACACGAAAGUGGACGUAUACGGUGUGACGCCUGCCCGGUGCCGGAAGGUUAAUUGAUGGGGUUAGCGCAAGCGAAGCUCUUGAUCGAA
rnacentral:rRNA from 1 species